rnacentral:miRNA from 1 species
CCCUGGUUUUCAGGUGGGGAAACUGAGGCAGGGAGGCUCCGUGACUUACCCAAGGCCACAGAGUCAAGGGG